CAGCCGCCGCGGUAAUACCGGCGGCCCGAGUGGCGGUCACUAUUAUUGGGCUUAAAGCGUCCGUAGCCGGGUUGGGAAAUCCUCCGGGAAAUCUGGCCGCUUAACGGUCAGAAUGCCGGAGGAUACUCCCAGCCUAGGGAGCGGGAGAGGCCGAGGGUAUUCCCGGAGUAGGGGUGAAAUCCUAUAAUCCCGGGAGGACCACCUGUGGCGAAGGCGCUCGGCUGGAACGCGUCCGACGGUGAGGGACGAAGGCCAGGGGAGCAAACCGGAUUAGAUACCCGGGUAGUCCUGGCUGUAAACGAUGCGGACUUUGUGUCGGACAAGCUAUGAGCUUGUCCGGUGCCGGAGGGAAACCGUUAAGUCCGCCGCCUGGGGAGUACGGCCGCAAGGCUGAAACUUAAAGGAAUUGGCGGG
rnacentral:rRNA from 1 species